GGAUAGCUUAGUUGGUAGAGCAGGAGACUCUUAAUCUCAGGGUUGUGGGUUUGAGUCCCAUGUUGGGCA
rnacentral:tRNA from 1 species